rnacentral:rRNA from 1 species
GGGGAAUAUUGCACAAUGGGCGAAAGCCUGAUGCAGCAACGCCGCGUGAGCGAAGAAGGCCUUUGGGUCGUAAAGCUCUGUCGAAAGGGAAGAAACAAAUGACGGUACCUUUCGAGGAAGCCCCGGCUAACUACGUGCCAGCAGCCGCGGUAAUACGUAGGGGGCAAGCGUUAUCCGGAAUUAUUGGGCGUAAAGAGUGCGUAGGUGGUCUUGUAAGCGUGGGGUGAAAGGCAGUGGCUUAACCAUUGUAAGCCCUGCGAACUGUGAGACUUGAGUGCAGGAGAGGAAAGCGGAAUUCCUAGUGUAGCGGUGAAAUGCGUAGAUAUUAGGAGGAACACCAGUGGCGAAGGCGGCUUUCUGGACUGUAACUGACACUGAGGCACGAAAGCGUGGGGAGCAAAC